rnacentral:lncRNA from 10 species
CUGUCCCUCUCCCCAGGGCACGGAAAUGCUCUCUGCCUCACUCUACUGCUGCCAGGGGAUUGGGGAAGGGUGGCAUCAGUGAUUUAAGACUGAUUUUUUCUGUUUUUUUUUCUGUUCUUCUCUUAAAGAUAUGGAAUUCAAACCAGUAACUUGUCUGGACUAUUGCGGAGUCUCUUUCCUGCAUCUGCGCAGCUCCUGAUGUCUCAGAGGGUGAAGGAGGAACUGGGAAGAUUUCAAGCCAACUAUAGAGCUACCAACAAUUUCUGUGGAAGCAAUAAUUUCAUUUCCAUAAUUAGUUAAAAUUAACACCAGUACCGCUAAAGAACCAGAUUAUCAUGAUUAAAAGUCUAACACUUAUGUCCGCAUCACAGUAACAAAAUAUUUAAUAAGUAAAUAUAAUUAGGAAAAAAAGGAUUAUUUAAAAUUACAGCAUCUACUUUUUGAGAAUGCCAAUUAUUUUAAGCCAUUUUAAAACAUUAUUAAAACAUUGCAUUGUAAUUUAACAAUUAUAAUUUAGGUGUGUGCUACUAGGUAGUAAACUUGCAUGUAAAUUUAC